GGGGAAUAUUGCACAAUGGGCGAAAGCCUGAUGCAGCGACGCCGCGUGAGGGAUGACGGCCUUCGGGUUGUAAACCUCUUUCAGCAGGGAAGAAGCGAAAGUGACGGUACCUGCAGAAGAAGCGCCGGCUAACUACGUGCCAGCAGCCGCGGUAAUACGUAGGGUGCGAGCGUUAAUCGGAAUUACUGGGCGUAAAGCGUGCGCAGGCGGUUUCGUAAGACAGACGUGAAAUCCCCGGGCUCAACCUGGGAACUGCGUUUGUGACUGCGAGGCUAGAGUACGGCAGAGGGGGGUAGAAUUCCACGUGUAGCAGUGAAAUGCGUAGAGAUGUGGAGGAAUACCGAUGGCGAAGGCAGCCCCCUGGGUUAGUACUGACGCUCAUGCACGAAAGCGUGGGGAGCAAACA
rnacentral:rRNA from 1 species